UAUAGAGGUCUCAAGCGUUGUUCGGAUUCAUUGGGCGUAAAGGGUGCGUAGGCGGUGAGGUAAGUCGGAUGUGAAAUCCCGGGGCUUAACCCCGGAACUGCAUUCGAUACUGCCUUGCUUGAGCACUGGAGAGGAGACUGGAAUUUACGGUGUAGCAGUGAAAUGCGUAGAUAUAGGAAGGAACACCAGUGGCGAAGGCGACCACCUGGACUGAUACUGACACUGAGGUGCGAAAGCGUGGGGAGCAAACAGG
rnacentral:rRNA from 1 species